rnacentral:rRNA from 1 species
GAUGAACGCUGGCGGCGUGCCUAAUACAUGCAAGUCGAGCGAACAGACGAGGAGCUUGCUCCUCUGACGUUAGCGGCGGACGGGUGAGUAACACGUGGAUAACCUACCUAUAAGACUGGGAUAACUUCGGGAAACCGGAGCUAAUACCGGAUAAUAUAUUGAACCGCAUGGUUCAAUGGUGAAAGACGGUUUUGCUGUCACUUAUAGAUGGAUCCGCGCCGCAUUAGCUAGUUGGUAAGGUAACGGCCUACAAAGGCGACGAUGCGUAGCCGACGUGAGAGGGGGAUAGGCCACACUGGAACUGAGACACGGUCCAGACUCCUACGGGAGGCAGCAGUAGGGAAUCUUCCGCAAUGGGCGAAAGCCUGACGGAGCAACGCCGCGUGAGUGAUGAAGGUCUUCGGAUCGUAAAACUCUGUUAUUAGGGAAGAACAAAUGUGUAAGUAACUAUGCACGUCUUGACGGUACCUAAUCAGAAAGCCACGGCUAACUACGUG